rnacentral:rRNA from 1 species
GACAGAGGGUGCAAACGUUGUUCGGAAUUACUGGGCGUAAAGCGCGUGUAGGCGGCAAGGCAGGUCGGAUGUGAAAGCCCGCGGCUCAACCGUGGAAGUGCACUCGAAACCGCCUAGCUAGAGUCUCGGAGAGGAAGGUGGAAUGCUUGGUGUAGAGGUGAAAUUCGUAGAUAUCAAGUGGAACACCGGUGGCGAAGGCGAGUCCCUGGACAACACCUGACACUGAGGCACGAAAGCUAGGGGAGCAAACAGG